rnacentral:lncRNA from 1 species
UGAUAAAUUUUUGGAGGAUCUUAGAAAUACUCAUUGACCUCCAAACUCCAAUUUUUAAGACCUCAAUCUACAAAAACCUUCACAUACUUUGAUCUAAUUAUUUGAUUAAUCUCAAAAAUUUUACAUAUAUUUAAAACUAGCAAACCAACAUAUUGUCCAAAAUUCACUUAUAUACACAUCAAAAAACUUGAAAAACUUUAAAAUUUGUAAAUAUAUUUUUAUUUCUCAAAAUCUAAACCAUCUAAGAACAUUACUAACUUUGAAAAUCCUUCAAAAAUUCACUAUUAAUUCAAUUGAUAUAAGACUAAUGUCCAAAAAUCUUCUCCCAAGUU